UUAAGUUAAAAUUUACCCCAAAGUCAAUAUAAAAUUGUCAUCUAGCAUUAACAACUUGUCUUUUUCAAGCAACUUAUCUUCUCCAAGUAAUUCAUCUUCUUCAAAUAUAAAAAAAAAAAAAAAAAAAAUUUACAGAAUUGUCUUUCAUCAAUGUAAAAAAAUAAAAAAUGGUGUCUCCAUACUAUCUAUUCACUUUGAUUAAAAUCUCGUUCAUGACAACAAAUUUCUUACUCUUCAAUUUCAUAUUUCAUCACCCAUCAAAUAUCAAAAUUUGAUUUUCUUUUUCGGAUUUUGUAAUGAUAUUUGUUGAAGACGAUAUUAGUAGAUCUGAAUUUAUUAAAUCUAUCAUGAGGCAGUUUCCUUAAUAAGGUCGCAAUUCAAAGAGGUGUUAUCAAUUUUUUUAAUCUCUAUCUUGAUGGAGAAGGGAGUUCGAUAUCAGAAUGCAUCAUCAGAGAUCGAGGAAAAUAAUAAAAAAAUCAGAGAUUCAAAUUUUGUUAUGAAUCCUGGGUAAAAAAAAAAUUUAUAGCAGAGAAAGGACAAAAUCUUAUCCCUACAACUGAUGACCUCAAAAAGGGCAUGUGAGUGUUCAAUGACAGCUCAAAGAAAGUCUUAGAAAUGAAAUUUAUCAAAGAAAAAAAGAGGGGAGAGGAUGAUUUCGCAGACCAAAAAAAAGAAUUGAAGAAUGAAACGGAUUAAAAUGAUAAUGGUCAGAGUUUUAUUCGACUCUAGAUUAAAAGGAUAGAAAAAAUAAUAUUAUAUUAUUUAAUUAGAGAGUGAGAUGCACUCUUUGAGGUCUACAAAUAACUGUUGUAAAAGUGUGUAUUUAUUAUGAUUAUGACUAAUUUCGUGAGAUAACAGAAUCCUCACAAAUUUGAAGUGUCUUUUUAAAAGUUCGAG
rnacentral:lncRNA from 1 species